rnacentral:rRNA from 2 species
UACGUAGGGAGCAAGCGUUAUCCGGAUUUACUGGGUGUAAAGGGCGUGUAGGCGGGAGUGCAAGUCAGAUGUGAAAACUAUGGGCUCAACCCAUAGCCUGCAUUUGAAACUGUACUUCUUGAGUACUGGAGAGGCAGGCGGAAUUCCGUGUGUAGCGGUGAAAUGCGUAGAUAUACGGAGGAACACCAGUGGCGAAGGCGGCCUGCUGGACAGCAACUGACGCUGAGGCGCGAAAGCGUGGGGAGCAAACAGG